UGGUUUGUAUUUGUUGGUGUAGUCAUGAAAGAUGCAGUGUAUACAAAUUCGGUUAAAGCGUGUUUAUCACGGAUCUGGUGUCUGGUAUGAUCGGUCUUCACGUUGUUGUCCAUGGGAUUGUCAGCUAAGCCAAGUCUGCGGCAGCAAGUUCCAAGCUAGAGCGCGUCAGAUCCAGAAAUGUGGUUACUAGAGAAGGUCUGAUACGGGAUUUGUUUGGAUGAACUCGAUUCCAGUUUUAAAGGGAAGACGAUUCAUUGAUGAGGCUGAGGGACUUCGGUAAACUAAAGAUUCAUAAUCUGGUGCCUGUUUGUUCCCACACUCCUUGUGUCAGAUUAACCAACGCAAACCCUACAUGAAGCAUCAGUCUUGCUACGCUGUGCCCCUGUUUUGAAACUAUUUGAAGCUAAUAAUCUGUGUACAAUUAGUGUUGUAGUACAUGUAAUUAGGCUCUAACAACUUGUGCUAACAAUUUGUGUAUCUCUUACAGUAUUAAUAGUCUGAGCAAGAAACUUUUUUAUAGUGAGAUCAAUUUGUUAAAAUAGUAAAAGUAAAUUGUUAUUGCCCUCCUUGUUUAUUGUCUAUUAAUAAAUGUAAAGCAGGACACACCACUUUGGUUCAAUCUUUGUAUCCUUACUGUUAUCUUACUGGUCUUACUGGUUAGAAGCAAGCCCUCUACUGUAAAUUUUUGCUGUGCAUUCAUAUGUUGAAAAAUUGCUCAUUACGGUUAAUAGAACAUGACUCACAAAUGUUAUUGCUGUAACCCCGGCCAGUUGGCCACCCUGACCGCCUUCCCUCACCCCCUCUCCUGCGUCGAGAGCCAGUCUCUGGGUAGAGCUUGGGCAGGUCGGACCUGUUGUCUCGUUGUUGAAUAAACCACUACUCCAGCUACGUCGACUUGUCCUUUAUUAAACUGGCGACGAGGAUAGUCAAGAAAACCACGCGAAUUCGUGGCAGCAUCUCCAGCCGCCCAGAGACUCGGCCGUCCGUGCGGUGUUUACUCACAAACAGCAGAGCCGCCGCCGUCACCCCAGCAAGUUCUACAACCACGUGUCUCCAGGAUACCAGGGAACAUGGCAGCAGCACCACCAAGGUAUGACCACUUUCACCCGGAAUCCUGGGAUGAUUUUCUGGAAAACUUUGAACUGUACUGCGAUGGGAAAGGGGUGACGGACGACGCGCAGAUGCGUGGCCUGUUGAGUAUGGCCCUCGGGGACGACUUGUCCUUUAUUAAAGUUAUUAUUGGGGAAAAGCUGCAGAUCUUGUUGAAGAUGGAAAACCAAUAAUGGUAGUUUAAUCUAGUUCAGAAAGAAAUGUUUGUGCCCCUGCAUUGUCACUUGGCAACACAACAGAAACGCUGGAUCUUAAAAUUUUAGGCAAAUGCAUUUAAGUCUAAAGAAAAGAAA